ACUCCUACGGGAGGCAGCAGUGGGGAAUAUUGCACAAUGGGCGCAAGCCUGAUGCAGCCAUGCCGCGUGUAUGAAGAAGGCCUUCGGGUUGUAAAGUACUUUCAGCGGGGAGGAAGGCAAUACGGUUAAUAACCGUGUUGAUUGACGUUACCCGCAGAAGAAGCACCGGCUAACUCCGUGCCAGCAGCCGCGGUAAUACGGAGGGUGCAAGCGUUAAUCGGAAUUACUGGGCGUAAAGCGCACGCAGGCGGUCUGUCAAGUCGGAUGUGAAAUCCCCGGGCUCAACCUGGGAACUGCAUUCGAAACUGGCAGGCUUGAGUCUUGUAGAGAGGGGUAGAAUUCCAGGUGUAGCGGUGAAAUGCGUAGAGAUCUGGAGAAAUACCGGUGGCGAAGGCGGCCCCCUGGACAAAGACUGACGCUCAGGUGCGAAAGCGUGGGGAGCAAACAGGAUUAGAAACCCGUGUAGUCCCAU
rnacentral:rRNA from 1 species